GUAGUCGUGGCCGAGUGGUUAAGGCGACAGACUUGAAAUCUGUUGGGAUAUUCCCGCGAAGGUUCAAAUCUGCCGACUACA
rnacentral:tRNA from 1 species